rnacentral:rRNA from 1 species
AGAGUUUGAUCAUGGCUCAGGAUGAACGCUAGCUACAGGCUUAACACAUGCAAGUCGAGGGGCAGCGGGGAUUGAAGCUUGCUUCAAUUGCCGGCGACCGGCGCACGGGUGAGUAACGCGUAUCCAACCUUCCGUACACUCAGGGAUAGCCUUUCGAAAGAAAGAUUAAUACCUGAUGGUAUGAUGAAAUUGCAUGAUAGCAUCAUUAAAGACUUAUCGGUGUACGAUGGGGAUGCGUUCCAGUUAGGUAGUAGGCGGGGUAACGGCCACCUAGCCUACGAUGGAUAGGGGUUCUGAGACGGAAGGUCCCCCAGAUUGGAACUGAGACACGGUCCAAACUCCUACGGGAGCGA